GACGAACGCUGGCGGCGUGCUUAACACAUGCAAGUCGAACGGAAAGGCCCUGCUUUUGUGGGGUGCUCGAGUGGCGAACGGGUGAGUAACACGUGAGUAACCUGCCCUUGACUUUGGGAUAACCUCAGGAAACUGGGGCUAAUACCGGAUAGGAGCUCCUGCUGCAUGGUGGGGGUUGGAAAGUUUCGGCGGUUGGGGAUGGACUCGCGGCUUAUCAGCUUGUUGGUGGGGUAGUGGCUUACCAAGGCUUUGACGGGUAGCCGGCCUGAGAGGGUGACCGGCCACAUUGGGACUGAGAUACGGACCAGACUCCUACGGGAGGCAGCAGUGGGGAAUAUUGCACAAUGGGCGGAAGCCUGAUGCAGAAACGCCGCGUGCGGGAUGACGGCCUUCGGGUUGUAAACCGCUUUCGCAUGUGACGAAGCGUGAGUGACGGUAAUGGGUAAAGAAGCACCGGCUAACUACGUG
rnacentral:rRNA from 1 species